rnacentral:miRNA from 1 species
GUAACAAAACUACAUUGACAAUUUGGCUCCUUUUAAUAUAUAUAUAUAUAUAUAUAUAUAUAUAUAUUAAAAGGAGCCAAAUUGUCAAUGUAGUUUUGUUAC